UAGGUGGCAAGCGUUGUCCGGAAUUAUUGGGCGUAAAGGGCUCGCAGGCGGUUUCUUAAGUCUGAUGUGAAAGCCCCCGGCUCAACCGGGGAGGGUCAUUGGAAACUGGGGAACUUGAGUGCAGAAGAGGAGAGUGGAAUUCCACGUGUAGCGGUGAAAUGCGUAGAGAUGUGGAGGAACACCAGUGGCGAAGGCGACUCUCUGGUCUGUAACUGACGCUGAGGAGCGAAAGCGUGGGGAGCGA
rnacentral:rRNA from 1 species